GUCAGUGUGGCGGAAUGGUAGACGCGCUAGCUUGAGGUGCUAGUGGGCACAUAGCCCGUGUGGGUUCGACUCCCACCAUUGAUAC
rnacentral:tRNA from 1 species